rnacentral:rRNA from 1 species
AUGUCCCUUCUAUUUAGAAGACCUCCCGGCCGUGAGGCUUAUCCAGGCGAUGUUUUUUAUUUGCAUUCACGCCUUUUAGAAAGAGCCGCUAAAUUAAAUUCUCUUUUAGGCGAAGGAAGUAUGACCGCUUUACCAAUAGUUGAGACUCAAUCUGGAGACAUUUCCGCCUAUGUUCCUACUAAUGUAAUCUCCAUUACAGAUGGACAAAUAUUCUUAUCUGCGGAUCUAUUCCAUGCCGGAAUUCGACCCGCUAUUAAUGUGGGUAUUUCUGUUUCCAGAGUAGGAUCCGCGGCUCAAAUUAAAGCCAUGAAACAAGUAGCUGGCAAAUCCAAAUUGGAACUAGCUCAAUUCGUAGAGUGA